AUUUCAGAAAGAGAAAGAGGCUCAGAAAAAAAGGGAGGAGGAGCAUAAGCCUGUUGCGGUCCCAUCAGCGGAAGCUCAGGGCCUGCGGGAACUGGAGGGUGCCUCUGACCCCUUGCUCUCACUCUUUGGCUCUACUUCUGACAACGACUUGCUCCAGGCGGCCACUGCCAUGGACUCGCUGACGGAUUUGGACUUGGAGCAUCUGCUCAGUGAGUCUCCAGAAGGAAGCCCCUUCCGUGAUAUGGAUGAUGGAAGUGAUUCCCUUGGGGUGGGAUUGGACCAGGAAUUCAGGCAGCCCUCUUCUCUCCCCGAAGGCCUGCCGGCACCCCUGGAGAAGCGCGUUAAGGAGCUGGCUCAGCAUAGAGGCGCAGACUCGGGAGCUGAGCAGUCAGGUGCGCUCUGGGGUGUAUGCCUAUCUUGCGUCAUUCCUGCCCUGCAGCAAGGAUGCCCUGCUCAAGCGUGCUCGGAAACUUCACCUCUAUGAACAGGGGGGCCGUCUGAAGGAGCCUCUCCAGAAGCUCAAGGAAGCCAUUGGCAGGGCGAUG
rnacentral:sRNA from 1 species